rnacentral:rRNA from 1 species
AUUGAACGCUGGCGGCAUGCCUUACACAUGCAAGUCGAACGGUAACGGGCCUUCGGGUGCCGACGAGUGGCGAACGGGUGAGUAAUACAUCGGAACGUGCCCGAUCGUGGGGGAUAACGAGGCGAAAGCUUUGCUAAUACCGCAUACGAUCUACGGAUGAAAGCAGGGGACCGCAAGGCCUUGCGCGGACGGAGCGGCUGGUGGCCGAUUAGGUGGUUGGUGGGAUAAAAGCUUACCAAGCCGACGACCUGUAGCUGGGCUGGGAGGAUGAUCAGCCACACUGGGGCUGAGACGCGGCCCAGACUCCGACGGGAGGCAGCAGUGGGUAAUUUUGGACAAUGGGCGCAAGCCUGAUCCAGCCAUGCCGCGUGCAGGAUGAAGGCCUUCGGGUGGUAAACUGCUUUUGUACGGAACGAAAAGCCUUCUUUUAAUACAGGAGGGUCAUGACGGUACCGUAAGAAUAAGCACCGGCUAACUACGU